rnacentral:rRNA from 1 species
UACGAAGGGGGCUAGCGUUGCUCGGAAUUACUGGGCGUAAAGCGCACGUAGGCGGAUUCCUAAGUCAGGGGUGAAAUCCUGGAGCUCAACUCCAGAACUGCCUUUGAUACUGGGAAUCUUGAGUCCGGGAGAGGUGAGUGGAACUCCGAGUGUAGAGGUGAAAUUCGUAGAUAUUCGGAAGAACACCAGUGGCGAAGGCGGCUCUCUGGUCCGGUACUGACGCUGAGGUGCGAAAGCGUGGGGAGCAAACAGG